rfam:Tupaia chinensis contig197089, whole genome shotgun sequence.
GUGCUUGUUUUGUCAGCACAUAGACUAAAACUGCAACAACACAAAGAGGAUUAGCAUGGCCCCAGUACAAGAAUGUCAGGCAAAUUUGUGAAGUCGUCCCUAUUUUU